CCGUGUAUAUCCCUUCAUACAAUGCGCAGUGCUUAAUAUAAACGAUCAAUAUAUUUUAUAAUAAAAUCAGUUGCUACAAACAGUCUAUAAAAGCAAUUUUAGAAUGAAUAAAAUGGCGUCGACAUUCAAUUGUCCAUUUGAGUAGCCUAUUUGGCUAAUGUCCAAAUGCCCUUUGCCGAAAGAUCUCAAAUGCGCUAGGAGCCCACGACCUAUACAAGGUACACCGUGGAAAUAACGUAUUGUUAAAAUUUGAAUGCCCUAGCACUAAGCUGAACGUAAAGAUGCGUAAAAUAUUGACAAAGUGCUUAUAUUAAAUAUUGACUUAUUAAGAAAUUAAAAUAACUUUGUAAACCGCACGAUUUUCUGCUAUCGGGAAUUUAAAACAGCUUCUUAAACGGUUUCGUUACCCGCAAACUUUACUUAUGUCAAGCUUUCAUGCACGUGUGGGUUCAGCAGAGUGCUGAGGCAUUCAAAUUCUAACAAUACAUUUAUUUCAAUAGUUUUUUUUUGGGGUUUUUUUUGGGAAUCAACAGGUAAAUCAAUGCAAAGUUUGGACCGUUUCCAGAUAACAACAAUUCAAUGACAUAUUAUCAGAUCAUAUAAAUAUCUGAACCAACCCUUUUAUAAGUGCGGCCAACCGGAAAGCUCCGAGAGAACAUAAGAGCUAUAGAGCAUAUAUGAUCAUACAUUUUUUGCUUGAUUUCCUGACUUGUUGUUCUAAAAAUAUGUUUAGCAUAUUUUUAUAAUUUAAGAGCAAACAGAGAUCAAGUUAAGCAAAUAUUUUGACUAUAUGUGAUUAUCGAGAUAGAUUGUACAGAACACUCAGCUCAGCUCACUCCUUGCGAUCGAAGUGUAAAGUGCGGAAACAUGUAAUAUGAUACCUUUCCAACACCCUCUUAGGCAAUUAAUUUUCUGUGAGUCACGUAGCCAGCUACGCGUAUUGCAUUGUAGGAAUAUUGUAAUUUACAAUAUUCUAUACUGACAAACUAGUAUACUUAUCAGUAGCCUAAAUACUGACUUGCUCCUUAAUUUGACGAUAUAUCAAAACGGCCUCAUCUUUCCAUAUUAACCCGGCCCAGUCCACUGUUUUAACACAAUCGUAAGCUACUAAGUAAGAGUUAAAUACCGAGAAGGAGGGCUUUAUGCUAUAUACAGCCCCGAGAACGCGAAGCGUUCGAGGGCUUUAUAUAGCAUAAAGCCCGACAUUCGAGGUAUUUAACUGACUUAUUUCAUGAUUGAAGAGGUUUUCUAACAAAGUUUUAUUCUUUUUUUUCGAUUUCGACAAGUAUUUUUCUAGUUUUCUCCCUUAUUUCUUGACUAAUUAGAGCUUUAUGGUAUUCAAGGGCUUUAUGCUAUAUACAGCCCGCGGUACAUCAAAGAAAACCGAGUCAAUCAUGAAAUAACCCAUCGUAACUGUUAGCUCGAUACUAAC